rnacentral:rRNA from 1 species
UGGAGCAAUGCCGCGUGAGCGAAGAAGGUUUUCGGAUCGUAAAGCUCUGUUGUAAGGGAAGAACACGUACGGGAGUAACUGCCCGUACCUUGACGUACCUUAUUAGAAGCCACGGCUAACUACGUGCCAGCAGCCGCGGUAAUACGUAGGUGGCAAGCGUUGUCCGGAAUUAUUGGGCGUAAAGCGCGCGCAGGCGGUCUUUUAAGUCUGAUGUGAAAGCCCACGGCUCAACCGUGGAAGGUCAUUGGAAACUGGGAGACUUGAGUACAGAAGAGGAAAGCGGAAUUCCACGUGUAGCGGUGAAAUGCGUAGAGAUGUGGAGGAACACCAGUGGCGAAGGCGGCUUUCUGGUCUGUAACUGACGCUGAGGCGCGAAAGCGUGGGGAGCAAACAGGAUUAGAUACCCUGGUAGUCCACGCCGUAAACGAUGAGUGCUAAGUGUUAGGGGGUUUCCGCCCCUUAGUGCUGCAGCUAACGCAUUAAGCACUCCGCCUGGGGAGUACGGCCGCAAGGCUG